rnacentral:rRNA from 1 species
UACGAGGGGGGCGAGCGUUGUUCGGAAUUAUUGGGCGUAAAGGGUGCGUAGGCGGUUCCGCAAGUCCUGUGUGAAAUCUUCGGGCUCAACUCGAAGUCUGCACGGGAAACUGCGGGGCUUGAGUGUGGGAGAGGUGAGUGGAAUUCCUGGUGUAGCGGUGGAAUGCGCAGAUAUCAGGAAGAACACCCGUGGCGAAGGCGGCUCUCUGGAACGCAACUGACGCUGAGACGCGAAAGCGUGGGGAGCAAACAGG